AGAGCGGGUGAGAUGAUCGCUCCCCGGCAACGGGGGGAGGAAAGUCCGAGCUCCGCAGGGCAAGGCGGUCCCGAAACGGGACAGGGGGCGACCCCAUGGACAGUGCCACAGAAAAGAAGACCGCCCCGGAUCUCCGGGGCAAGGGUGAAACGGUGAGGUAAGAGCUCACCAGNNCCAUCCGUCCCGGCUCCACAACGAACGACACGGCCCCAGCUUCUCCUUGCCUUUUCUCCGAAUUUAUACUAUGUUUUCCCGGUAAGCCUUUCCGACGGACCUAUUCGCAUGGCCCGGCAUAUGAGAUGAUCCCAUGCCCCGUAUCUUCGACAACAUAGACCAGGACCUGCUUGGCGC
rnacentral:RNase_P_RNA from 1 species